rnacentral:rRNA from 1 species
AACGAACGCUGGCGGCAGGCUAAACACAUGCAAGUCGAGCGCCACGCAAGGGGAGCGGCAGACGGGUGAGUAACGCGUGGGAAUCUACCCAUCUCUACGGAAUAACGCAUGGAAACGUGUGCUAAUACCGUAUACGUCCUUCGGGAGAAAGAUUUAUCGGCGAUGGAUGAGCCCGCGUUGGAUUAGCUAGUUGGUGGGGUAAAGGCCUACCAAGGCGACGAUCCAUGGCUGGACUGAGAGGAUGAUCAGCCACACUGGGACUGAGACACGGCACAGACUCAUACGGGAGACAGCAGUGAGGAAUAUAGGACAAGUCGCGCAGGCAUGAUCCAGCUAUGCAGAGUGAGUGAUGAUGGCCCUAGCGUUGUAAAGGUCUGUCACCGGUGAAGAUAAGGACGGUAACCGGAGGAGAAGAGCCUGCUAACUUCGUGACAGCCGCCGCGGUAAUAC